rnacentral:rRNA from 1 species
AUGUACAUUCCUACAACAUAGCGUUGAUGCACCGGAUCCCAUUAGAACUUCGCAGUUAAGCGCACUCGGGAUAGAGUAGUACUGGGGUGGAUGACUGCCCGAGAAGUCCUAGUGUUUUACAUG